CUAGAUCGACUGCUUCGUGUGCUGGACCGUGGGUGGACUGCGCUGGCGUCAGGGGAUUCCGGAAAGUUCCAAGGACAUCAGGGAUCCCCUUUUGGACUGUAGUUCCCCGGGAAGCCGCUUCCGACGCUCUUUCCAGACUGCGAAAGGAAAACUUCCUGGAGAGCGGAGGAGGGACCCGGCGGGAGUGCCACACCCGGAUACCUACAGCACAGGAGCCAACUGAGGAUGUAUGGCAGCACCAGGAAGGCCCCAGUUACAUCUAAGGAGGAUUAGCUGAUGGAUGCUGUGCAGGAAUGACAUCUCAGCCCAGCCAAAUCUUUCAAGACAAGCUGGAGAAGCAGUUUUUGUGUUUUGGGGGGGGGGGUUUUAAUGUGCAAUCGUCUUAAUUUUAAAUUUGGUCAUUAAUUCAAAGAAUCAAGCCUAGCCUAUCCAGGGGCCUCAUGCAGCUCAUGCUUUCUCUUCCCUGACCCAAAGCUGAGCAAGAGAAGAACCGGAAACUGGAAUAGUGCCCAAGGCAACAGUACCUGGGAGCUCUUUCAUAUUUUAAAACUCCCAGCUGUAGGAAAGGAAGGCAUCUUUCAGGUGUCUUGGAACAGAAAUUUGUGCUGCAUAAAAUCCCUCUUCUUAAA